UUUCCUACGGGAGGCAGCAGUGAGGAAUAUUGGUCAAUGGCCGCAGGGCUGAACCAGCCAAGUCGCGUGAGGGAUGACGGUCCUAUGGAUUGUAAACCUCUUUUGUCAGGGAGCAAAGGGCGCCACGCGUGGCGUUUUGCGAGUACCUGAAGAAAAAGCAUCGGCUAACUCCGUGCCAGCAGCCGCGGUAAUACGGAGGAUGCGAGCGUUAUCCGGAUUUAUUGGGUUUAAAGGGUGCGCAGGCGGAAUGGCAAGUCAGCGGAAAAAUUUCGGGGCUCAACCGCGUCGUGGCGUUGAAACGGGCG
rnacentral:rRNA from 1 species